GAAGACACUGGGGAUUUUGAGACUUGACACAAGAGUUCACUGUAAUCUUUCAGUUUUAUGCUCUUUGCAGGCAUGGUGCUGGGUGAAGUCUGAGAGGAACAGCAGUAUCAUUUUUCCCUUAAAGCUCUUCAAGCCAUCAAGAAUGGAUUAUACUUAUUAUGGCCAAUGUCUGUCAUGGAUUUGUGCAUUCACCUCCUUCACGUGCCUCACUGGUCCCAGCCAUUCUCACCUGUGGCAGAGACCAGCAUCCUGUAUGUUGGAGGGAAAGCAGUGAACAGCACUGCCCACUAAACCACCUAAUACAGUGGAAGGCGCCGUCAGCAAGGAAGCACACAGUGAGCAAACCUGUGAUAACACGUGAGCAUCGGUGUCUGAGUUUCCAGAUGAGGACAACUGCACCCACAAAGGAGUUCCCUUCUCACUGCUUUUGUCUCGCAUCCUGUGAGUGACACAGGUUGGCAGCAGCCCACUCCCAAGACCACUGCAGCAAUCAUGCAAUUGGUGUGGAUGAGACCUGGGCUGAAGACUUACUUCUGUCUGGAUUGCACCAAGGGCCUGUAUGCAUGUUUUGUCCAUUCCAAACGCUGGACCCAGUCCUUCACAAGGCAGCUUUCUUUCUCAAAGGUGGAAGAAAAUCAUACUGCAUUCAUCAACGUCUAGCAGAAAUCUCAUGCACUUGGCAUCAGGAGCAACUAAACAAGCCAUAUCUACAGUCUUUGUUUUCCUUCAAGCUGGUGUACAGGCGAGCAUCUAGCAUUCUGCUGUGCCUCUAACAUUCUUUGUGUAUGCCUAAGACCUUUGAGACCUUCCUUUUGAGGCCAGAUCAGUGGACUUUCUGCAGUAGUGCAGAGAAUGCCUUCUUCAACUCCCAUUUGUAGCUGGGUCUUGGAAACGAGCGUGGUUCUACAUAGCAAUUCCAGCAUGGCCUGCCUGCUAGAAAAAAAAAGAACAAUGAAGUGUGGUAAUCACACCUUGAAGCUGGGGAAAUGCAUUUGCCAUUGUAUGGAGAGAGCUGCUACUCAAACAGCACGCAGAGAACAUGAUGGGGCAAAUUCAGGAGAAUGUUCCUGUCUGGUUACUGUGCUAGCACAUUACUCUGAGACCAGCAGCAUGGGGUGCUUACCAUUGACCUCUUCUCAAACAGCAGGGGAGCUGGAAUACACGUGGAAUACCCAGGUGACCCUAAGGCCAUUUUCUGCCUGUACUGUCACCAUCCACAGGUGGAGGAGACCUCUUGGCCCACCCCAGCCUAUGACUGCCAGCUCUACAACAGUGCACGAGUAGAUUUGCAAUGGUUCUUCAGUCACUGAGAGAAAUCUUC
rnacentral:lncRNA from 1 species